rnacentral:rRNA from 1 species
AUUGAACGCUGGCGGCAGGCCUAACACAUGCAAGUCGAGCGGUUGAAGGGAGCUUGCUCCCUGAUUCAGCGGCGGACGGGUGAGUAAUGCCUAGGAAUCUGCCUAUUAGUGGGGGACAACGUUUCGAAAGGAACGCUAAUACCGCAUACGUCCUACGGGAGAAAGCAGGGGACCUUCGGGACUUGCGCUAAUAGAUGAGCCUAGGUCGGAUUAGCUUGUUGGUGAGGUAAUGGCUCACCAAGGCGACGAUCCGUAACUGGUCUGAGAGGAUGAUCAGUCACCCUGGAACUGGGACACGGUCCAGACUCCUACGGGAGGCAGCAGUGGGGAAUAUUGGACAAUGGGCUAAAGCCUGAUCCAGCCAUGCCGCGUGUGUGAAGAAGGUCUUCGGAUUGUAAAGCACUUUAAGUUGGGAGGAAGGGUUGUAGAUUAAUACUCUGCAAUUUUGACGUUACCGACAGAAUAAGCACCGGCUAACUCUGUGCCAGCCGCCGCCGUAAAAC